GACAGAGGGUGCAAACGUUGUUCGGAAUUACUGGGCGUAAAGCGCGUGUAGGCUGCUCUGCAAGUCGGAUGUGAAAGCCCUGGGCUCAACCUAGGAAGUGCACUCGAAACUGCAGAGCUUGAGUCUCGGAGAGGAUCGCGGAAUUCUCGGUGUAGAGGUGAAAUUCGUAGAUAUCGAGAGGAACACCGGUGGCGAAGGCGGCGAUCUGGGCCUUACCUGACGCUGAGGAGCGAAAGCAUGGGGAGCAAACAGG
rnacentral:rRNA from 1 species